UUUGAUUAAAAAAUAAAAUAUUUUGUUUUUGUGAAUUAUAUUUCAAACAAAUAAUUAAUGUUUUUUUUUUAAAAUACAAAAUUGCACAUUUACAUAAAACAAAACAAGAUACCCUUAGGAUCACAGAAGUAGAAAUGGAAACCUUAAAUUUUCGUUUGAAUGCCACAUGUAAGUUUUUCAACUCAACAGUAGUUUCAUGCUCCAAUAAUAACAUUUAGCAUUUGUGUUCUAAACAUAUCACACACAUACAUUUUUAACAAACUUGACAAAAUUGUGGCCUUAAAAAGAAACAAUAUGUAGGAUGAACAAUGGCAUGCCAAAAAAAAAAAAGAGUUCACCUUUAAUACAGGGAAUUACAAAUCAGUUGUAACAAAAUAUUCCCAUAACAAAAUGUUUUGCUUUCAUUCAUGGAUAAUAAUUUUCCAUUCACAGAUAAAUAUAAUAAAAUAUGUAACAGCUCUUUGCAGAACGUAAUUGAAAAGAUAUAUGCAUGCCAUUCAAUAAUUUAUCUUAAAUUCACAGCAAUUACAGAUGCUGUUUUGCCAUUUACACUUUUAUUGUCAAGCAAACGAAUGCAUACACAAAUUUCAAUUAAAAAGCUAAGCGUCUCAAAAGAUAAUAAAUAAAUGACUAAAAGGAAUUCAAAGUAUAACAAUAUGGAAUGUAAGUAAUUUAGACUUUGUUUUGUUCAAUUUCCAAUUGUGGUAAAAAAAAAAAAAAAGACAUUUCUGGAAAAA